AGAACGAACGCUGGCGGCGUGCCUAACACAUGCAAGUCGAACGGAAUGAGGGGCUUGCUCCUCAUUUAGUGGCGCACGGGUGAGUAACGCGUAGAUAAUCUGCCUGAUGAUCUGGGAUAACAUUUCGAAAGGGGUGCUAAUACCGGAUAAGCCCACGGAGUCUUUGGAUUCUGCGGGAAAAGGGGGGCUGUCAUCAGAUGAGUCUGCGUACCAUUAGCUAGUUGGUAGGGUAAUGGCCUACCAAGGCGACGACGGGUAGCCGGCCUGAGAGGGCGACCGGCCACACUGGGACUGAGACACGGCCCAGACUCCUACGGGAGGCAGCAGUGGGGAAUAUUGCGCAAUGGGCGAAAGCCUGACGCAGCAACGCCGCGUGAGGGAUGAAGGCCUUCGGGUUGUAAACCUCUUUCAGCAGGGAAGAAGCGAAAGUGACGGUACCUGCAGAAGAAGCACCGGCUAACUACGUGCCAGCAGCCGCGGUAAUACAUAGGGGGCAAGCGUUAUCCGGAUUUACUGGGUGUAAAGGGAGCGUAGGUGGUUUGGUAAGUCAGAUGUGAAAGCCCGGGGCUCAACCCCGGGACUGCAUUUGAAACUAUCAGACUAGAGUGCAGGAGAGGUAAGUGGAAUUCCUAGUGUAGCGGUGAAAUGCGUAGAUAUUAGGAAGAACACCAGUGGCGAAGGCGGCUCACUGGAUCGGUACUGACGCUGAGGUGCGAAAGCGUGGGGAGCAAACUGGAUUAGAUACCCUGGUAGUCCACGCCGUAACUAUGGAUGCUAGCCGUCGGCAAGCUUGCUUGUCGGUGGCGCAGCUAACGCAUUAAGCAUCCCGCCUGGGGAGUACGGCCGCAAGG
rnacentral:rRNA from 1 species